rnacentral:misc_RNA from 1 species
AAGUCGUAACAAGGUUUCCGUAGGUGAACCUGCGGAAGGAUCAUUAUUGAAUGAACUUGGCGUGGUUGUAGCUGGCUCUCUCGAGAGUAUGUGCACAUCCGUCAUCUUUAUCUCUCCACCUGUGCACAUUUUGUAGACUUGGUAUUUGAGACUUUCUGGGGUAACUCUCAGUUAGACUUAGAUUUCCAGGCCUAUGUUUUUCAUAUACCCUAUAGUAUGUAACAGAAUGUAUCAAUGAGCCUUGUGCUUAUAAACUAUAUACAACUUUCAACAACGGAUCUCUUGGCUCUC